AUGAUAGUCGACAACCAUGUCGAUGGAGGCCAGAUGGCGAAAGAACUGCUCAGCGUGUCCUCCGCACAUCAACUUUGGGACAAAUGGGAGGUGCAGUGCUUGGUCCUUGCCAGCUUCACCCUGCAGGCCUUCUUCCUGUUCGCCGCAGGCAUCCGGCGGCGCAACAAGUCCGCCGUGCUCCGCAUCCUGCUCUGGCUGGCGUACCUGUCGGCCGACUACGUGGCGGUCUUCGUCCUCGGGCACCUGACCAUGAAGAUGGACGACCCGCUGGUGCUGCUGUGGGCGCCCGUGCUGCUGCUCCACUUGGGCGGGCAGGAGACCAUCACGGCCUUCUCCAUGGAGGACAACGAGCUGUGGAAGCGCCACCUCCUGGGCCUCCUCACCCAGGUGGCGAUGGCCGUCUACGUGGUGGCCAAGUCCUGGCGCAGCAGCAACGGCGGGCUCCUUGUCGCCCCCGUCGCGCUCAUGUUCGUCUCCGGCACCGUCAAGUACGCCGAGCGGACAUGGGCGCUCAAGACGGCCACCUCCGACACCAUCAAAGACAGCCGCAUGAGCGACCUGUACGAAACCAUGAAGACGAGACAGGGCGAGCCUUCUGCUGCCGCCAGUUCGGCGGUCCGGAUCCAGAGGUACAACCAAGACAUUGUUGGCCGUCAGAAAUGGUGGCUCCAGGAGGAGUACGCCGACCUCGUGCAAGCGGCCGGCGACAGCUUCCCCAACUGCAUGAACGCGCUGAUGGACAUCCCUGUCUCGCCAUGGGUGCAGCCUCAUAUAUUGGGCAUGGCCGAAGAGAUCCAGAGCCUCCGUGGGCCGGCAGGUGCAGGCGGCAGCAGGGAGGACACGUUCCCGUCCAGGGCGUACAAGCUGGUCGAGAUCCAGCUCUCGCUCAUGUACGACCACCUCUACACCAAGGUUGGCCUGCGGUACGCCCAGCGUUGGCCGGUGGUCGGCCUCGGCCUGCCGCUCCUCACGUUCGCCACCACCUUGUCGGCUCUCGCGCUGUUCGCUGCGGCGGCGAGGAAGAAGGGCAGCGGCGCCGUCGACGUCGCCGUCUCCUACGUCCUGCUGGCCGGCGCCGUGGCGCUGGAGCCGCUGUGGUCCAACAAGUGGGCGCAAUACAAUCUGCUCGCCGGAUGCAUCAAGGAGAAGCAAGCCGGCGUGUUCACGAGGGCGAUGCGUCGCGUCGGCCUGGCCGGGGACACCGAGCUCCGCCGCAUCUCUGACGAGACCAAGGCGCUCAUCUGCAACGAGCUGGACGACGAGCGGAGGCUGCACGUGUUCAGCCACGCCCGGGGCACGGCGAUCCUGUCGCUGAGUGGGCACGGGGUGGGCUCGCAGCUGCACAAGAGCAUCUCCAAGGUGGACUUCUCCACCAGCGUCGUCAUGUGGCACCUCGUCACCGACAUGUGCUUCUUCCUCGGCGGCGAGCCGGCUAGGGACGGCCGCCGGCACAUGGCUCUGGCACGGGAGGUUUCCAGCUAUCUCAUGGACCUCGUCAUGGAGCGGCGCGUGCUAAUCAGCAGCGAGGGCCACGUCGCGCACCGCAAGGCCCGCGACGAGGUGAAGCGGAUCCUGGAGGGGGCGAGGGUCGACGCGGCUGACGCCGACGCCAUGAGGAAGAUGCUCGAGGCCGGCGGGGGCGCGGUGCCGGAGGGGGUGGACUCGUACGAGUCCAUGCGGCCGGUGCUGCCCAGCGCGUGGAGGCUCGCGCAGCUGCUGCUCCAGCAGGACCGGAACACGGAGACAGGUGGCGGCGGCGGCGCUCCGUGGGAGAUGAUCGCGUCGGUGUGGAUCGAGAUGCUCUUCCACCUCGCCACGCGGUGUGAGGCCGGCUUCCACGCCAAAAAUCUCAGUACCGGCGGGGAGUUCAUCACUCAUGUCAGGUUCCUGCUCCACAAUCGGGGGAUCGGCUGGAACUUCAUCAUUGGCCGUUAUCUACAGAUGUACCAGGACUCUUCGUUUAUGGUCCUCUCUGUAACACCUGGAGAAUCAAGACCUGUUUACGGAGGUGUGUACACAAUUGGAGGAUACAGCGAGGGAUACUUUUACCCAACAUGGGUGGCAACAUGA
rnacentral:rRNA from 1 species